CAGUAGCCGCGGGAAUACGGAGGGUGCAAGCGUUAAUCGGAAUUACUGGGCGUAAAGCGUGCGUAGGCGGUUCGUUAAGUCUGUUGUGAAAGCCCCGGGCUCAACCUGGGAAUGGCAAUGGAUACUGGCGAGCUAGAGUGUGUCAGAGGAUGGUGGAAUUCCCGGUGUAGCGGUGAAAUGUUCUGAUCCUCGGGGGACCACCGGUGGCGAAGGCGUUCGACGAGAACGGGCCUGACGGUGAGGGGCGAAGGCUAGGGGAGCAAACGGGAUUAGAUACCCGUGUAGUCCCUGUCUCUUAUAC
rnacentral:rRNA from 1 species